CCUACGGGAGGCAGCAGUGAGGAAUAUUGGUCAAUGGCCGAGAGGCUGAACCAGCCAAGUCGCGUGAGGGAAGACGGCCCUACGGGUUGUAAACCUCUUUUGUCGGGGAGCAAAGAGAGUCACGUGUGACUCAUUGAGAGUACCCGAAGAAAAAGCAUCGGCAAACUCCGUGCCAGCAGCCGCGGUAAUACGGAGGGUGCGGGCGUUAACAGGAUUUAUUGGGUUAAAGGGGUGCGCAGGCGGCCUGUUAAGUCAGCGGGAAAAGCCCGGGGCUCAACCCCGGCGAGCCGUUGAAACUGGGGGGCUGGAGUCGGAGAGAAGUGCGCGGAAUGCGCUGUGUAGCGGUGAAAUGCUUAGAUAUGGCGCAGAACCCCGAUUGCGAAGGCAGCG
rnacentral:rRNA from 1 species